CUCUCAUCCAUCAUACAUAAAUGCUUCCCUCCCCUCCCCUCCAUCACUGAGCUGCCACCCCCUACUCAUUUGUUGAUCUCUCUGAAAAGUCGAUCAGACAGCUGCGUCUGAUUCGCUGGAACACAUGUGCUGGUGCUGGAGUCCUCACAAAGACCAGGAGAGUGGAUCACAUCAGUCUAGUUCUCUGAUCUUUACACUGGCAUGUCAAAGAAUAGUGCUAAGGGUUUUGUAAAGCACUGAAUGGUUUAGGCUCAAAAUACAUGUCUGAUCUGCUGCUAUGUUUACGAACCUUCCAGACCUCUCAGAUGGUCUGGACAGGUCUGCCGAUUGUCCCCAGAGUCAAAACGGAACAUGGAGAAGCAGCAUUCCGUUUUUAUGCACCACAUAUCUGGAAUAAAGGCCUGUUUGCCCCUGCAUUUUAUUAAGUUAAUGUUGGGACUAUGUAUUUAUAUCUUGCACUGUACUGUGAUUGAGCUGUCAUUUUUAUUGUCCUGUUUUAUGUGGGUUAUUUUUCAAUUUAAGCUUCUUUUUACCUUCUAUUUUAUAUCCUAUUUAUAUGUGCAUUUGUAUAUUUACUUGUCUUAAUGCCUUUUAUGUCUUAUGUAAAGCACUUUGAAUUGCCUUGUAGUUGAAAGGGGCUAUUCAAAUAAACUUGCCUUGCCUUGCCUUGC